rnacentral:lncRNA from 1 species
GGCAGCUUAAGCCUGACAAAACUCUGUCCUCAGUGAUCUGUCCUCACCGAUCUAUGAAGAUAGUCAUGGAGAUGAGGGGAAGGAAUGGCAAGAGAGUUUUAUGGUAGAGAAUGGGCCUAACGAGUCUGGGUGGAGACAUUAGAAUGAGGAAGUAGCGAAGUAGGAAGACGGAAAGGCCACCAUAUGAGGCUUGAUUGCCAAACCAAACCACCAUAUUCCUAGAGAAAGAACCCAGAGAAAUCAAAGCCUAUGCACCUAGAAGCUUCAACUUACUGGCUAGCUUUUGUAAUACUGGAAAGUGCUAUGCAUGCCACCAGAGGAGAAAAGUAAUCACUACUCUUACCUAGCUGUGAAGUCUGCAAGCUACAACAAUGACCGGCCUUGCAAGACAAGUCUACUAGUGCAAUAGUGCUAUGAAUGUUGUGGGAAUGACUAAUCACUUAUUGAUUAGAGGUACGUUAUACUUCAGGACCAUGCAGGAGAUGUCUGUGUAACCUAUGUUUCCUGCUGAUUGGCCCUUUUCAGAGAGACUUGUGCAGCACAUUUCUUGUGAUGUAGUAGUGUUGCUAUGAGAGGGCUGAUUCUGCCACUCCUCGUUCAGAAGAAAUGUCCUGAAGAUUCUGGGUAAAGAUAGCUGAGUUAGGUUCCUCAAGCAAAAAUUUAUGGUAAUAUUUGUUAUGGCUUAACCUUUAAAAUUAUAACCAAAAGUGAAAUUCUGCAGGAUUUUAAUUGUUGUGUCUUCUAAAUUAUUGAUUCUUAGCUAAAAAAUACUUUCAGAGUUAUAUUGUAUUUUUCCUAGACUAUAAAUAAUGCAUGUUUAUAGUGUACAAAUAAGACAAAAAGAUAAACUAAAUUCAAAAUCACUCAUAAUUGUACCACCUGCAGAUAAUUUUAUUAAUAUUUCAGUCUUUGAUGCUUAUGAUAUGGCCUCAUUAGUAUAUUUAAAUAAUUGAUAUGACAAUACUAUUAAUGAAUUAAAAUUUAUCACUUUCCUCUAGAUUGUAAACUGUGAUGUAUCAUGCUAUAACUUAUUUAGUAAGCCAUAUAUCUUUCAUCCUUUGUAUGCCUUCAACAAGGAUUAGCCAUGAAAAUGAUAAACACCAGAGUGUAAAGUGUUUCAUUACAGGGGGUCUUAAUUUUUUGUUUUAUUACUCCCUAAAACUAUUUUGAAAAAUUUAUACCCCAUUACUAAUUUUAAGUCAACAUUUAAAUUUUUUAUCACGGGUUUCAUAGUUACAAAGCAUGACAUUUCCACAGUACUAAAAUAUUAACAUUUUAAAUUAAAACUGUUAACAGUGCUUUUAAAUAUAGCUAAAAGAAUUUAGCAUCAUAGCAAUCUGAUACACUUACUUAAAAAUAUAUAUGGCUGUUUUAGUCAGAAACUAUGCAUUGUUUCUUUUCCUUAGUGUUAUAUUUCCAUUUAUCACUAUUCUUUUUACUCUAAUGCAGUAUUUUUACAUUUGGAACUAUUGAGUUUUAAAGUAUUUAUUAAUCACACCUUUUUAUGCAGUCUUUGAAAACAGAUGUGAAUAUCAUAUGGCAUUGGAUAAUGAAUUUAUUUCCAAAAUUUAGGGGUUAAUUAUCUUAUGCAUUGAGUUAUGAUUAUAUUUAAUGGGCAGUUGGUUAUAUUAUCCUAAAUAUAUGCUCUUCUUAAAGUUCUAUCAAAUAUAUCAACAGUGGAAUUUUGUAGCCAAUACCCUCAUAUUCAAAGCAAACUGUAAGUUUAUAAUAUCAUUAGUAUUUUUGCAAGUGUUAGUGAAUAUAUUUUUCUUUUUCUUUUUUUGUUUGUUUGGUUUUGGUUUUUCAAGAUAGGAUUUCUCUGUGUAGCUCUGAUGAUCCUGGAACUUGCUCUGUAGACCAGGCUGGCCUCAAACCCACAGAGGUGUGUCUGCUUCUCAAGUUCUGGCUUUACAAUCAUGUGCCACCACUGUUCAGCUAACUUAAUUUUUUAAUAUUUUGUAAAACAAUAACAACCCAUCAACUUACCUCCAAUUUUCUCCUUUCUACUCAAACUUGAGAAAUAAAAACAGGUAAAGACAUUUUUUUUUGUUGUUUUUACUAUCUUGUAUCCUUGAAGUCAUUUUCUUUUUAAAAUCUAAACAGUGUCUUAACUAAAAGAGAUUUCACAGAUACCAAAAUUAAAUUCCCGUUGGCUAGCAUCCGGCCUGGAGAGUGUAGAGUUAGGAAGCCGAGCAUGAUAAGGGCUGUGGCUUCUGUUUGGUAAAAUGACGAAAGCAUUAGGCAAGGAGGACAAGAAAGUGCACAUGGUAUUGGGACACAGGCAGACACAUUCAUAGGUACAUAGGUACAUUAGUAGGACACAUAAUUUUUGACAAAUAAUCUGGAAAUUGAUUUUCUAAAAACUCUCAAUAUUUUCGUUUCCUAUGGUGCAUCUUCAAGAAUCCUCAAAGAUGUUGAAUCUUGUGUGGGGUACCAUUGAUGUACUGUUUAUUUAGCAAUUAAACAUCAAUCUAAAUACGCCUUUUAUGUGAUGAGUAUUAAACUAUACUUGUUAUUUUAAAAUCUUAUUUGUUUACUUGUUUGUUUCUUUAAUUUUGAGUGUGCCACAUGUGUGUGGAUACUCAAGGAUGAUGAAAG